ensembl:lncRNA
CGCUCUCGUAUCAUUAACGCCUGCACAAACAAAAAAAUGAAGUCCGAGUCCCCGCCGACCCAGACACAGGACACAGGACACAGGACACAGGACAUCUGCACAGUGGUACUUCUCUUAUCUGUUUAAUAUUGUUCAUUUUUGCUUGUGUAUUGGUAUCUUAUUUUAUUGUUUUCUUUUCACAUUGCUGUAUGUGUAACAUACGUGGCAAAGAACGGCUUCUGAUUCUGAACGUUGAUGAACUGAGUUCUGUCAAAAACAAGAGAGAACGCGACUUUGAGGCACUUCCGGCCUCCUCGUGACUGCGUGUGAAGUCUCAUUAGAUAUGAGCGCUCGUUACCAAACUAAAUUCAACGCGAUGCAUCGUGUAUCCCGCUCGUGCUCUUUGUUUACGGCUUCGCCAAACACAGCGGCGUUGGCGUGAGCCGGUACGAAGCGGAGGCGGAGAGGCACUAACGGCCUCACAACAACGCUAAUUAGAUCUCACAGUUCCAGCGCUCAGAGGAUUACUUCUGAUCUACAGGAGCCACUUGAGCUCAGUUUGCUGCUCUGUGACUCAGAGGCGAAAGGGUAUCAACCUUUUUUAGGAUUUUGCGCCGUUUGUAUGCAGAGUGAAACCAAAAAGACGGCCGAUCUAAACAGGUGUUUGUUUGUUUGUUUGUCUGAUUUUGGUGUAAAAUGUGGAGGCCGGUGAAGGAAUCCUCUGUGUCAGGACACACAGACCUAACUUCCACACACACGAUCGUCUGCUGUGUAAAGUGAUUAAAAAGAGAACAGUCACAGAGUCUCCGUUAGAAACGAGCCGCGUUACGAUGAAAACUGUUCUGGGUAAAGUGAACUUUACUGCUGAACAACAGAUUACUGCCAGAGUCUUUUUACCCCUUUAAAUAUAAGCGCUUACAUGCAGGUUUCUUAAACAUGGAAAAACAGACGCUUGAUCUCGGCCCGAAGAAGAAGAGCCGUACGUGAUGCAGAGGAGACCUGGAGCAGGACGCCGCGCUCCCGUCUUCCACUGUCUGUCAAUCAACCGACCUACGUAACCAGAUUGGAUUGGGGUGAGGACGAAUGGAGGCGGAGGGGGAGGAGGGGGAGGAAGGGAGUGAGGGACAAUGAGAGGUCACUCACCCGUCUGUGUCCUGGAAGUUGACAUUCACUUUCUUUGCCGAGCCGA